GGAAUUGACGGGGGCCCGCACAAGCGGUGGAGCAUGUGGUUUAAUUCGAUGAUACGCGAGGAACCUUACCAGGGCUUAAAUGCAGGCUGCAUGGGGUGGAGACAUCCCUUUCUUCGGACCGCCUGCAAGGUGCUGCAUGGUUGUCGUCAGCUCGUGCCGUGAGGUGUCAGGUUAAGUCCUAUAACGAGCGCAACCCCUACCGUUAGUUGCCAGCGAGUCAAGUCGGGGACUCUAACGGGACUGCCGGUGCAAACCGUGAGGAAGGUGGGGACGACGUCAAAUCAUCACGGCCCUUACGUCCUGGGCCACACACGUGCUACAAUGGCCGGUACAGAGGGAAGCCACCCCGCAAGGGGGCGCGGAUCUACAAAACCGGUCACAGUUCGGAUCGGGGUCUGCAACUCGACCCCGUGAAGCUGGAAUCGCUAGUAAUCGGAUAUCAGCCAUGAUCCGGUGAAUACGUUCCCGGGCCUUGUACACACCGCCCGUCAAGCCAUGGAAGCCGGGAAUGCCUGAAGUCCGUCACCGCAAGGAGCGGCCUAGGGCAAAAUCGGUAACUAGGGCUAAGUCGUAACAAGGUAGCC
rnacentral:rRNA from 1 species